GGGACGGAGGGGGACCAAGGACAGGAAGGAACAGACGUCUCUCUUUACCCUCCAACGGUACCACUCAGAGCCUCUUUCUCCGCCCUUGUGCUGGGGGCAGGGGCAACAUAUAAAGACAGGCACCCCUAGAUGUCAAGUUCACUGGGAAGGGCCAGAGGAGUGUCAGAGAUUGGGCCUGACCAGAGGCUGAAUCAGGGGCAAGAAAGAUUAGAGUCUGAAGAAGACAGGAGUCCUGGUGAGCAGGGGACAGGAGGGGAGGCGAAUGUCCGCCCGUGGCCCUGAAGCCGUGAGUGAGCAGCCUUACCGCUGCCUGAUAAAUACAGCUGUUGCCCAGGCCAUAAAUUAGAGUCAGGGUCCCAGAUUAGCCCUGGAAUUAAGUACUGUAAGAAUCUGAGGAGAAAAAAAAAUCACAUAAAAUUCAAUUUAAGGAUAAAACAGAUGUUUUCCGUGAAGCCAGCCUCCUGAGAUGAUUACAUCGCCCUGCAUUUAGGCAGGAGCUCUCGCCUGAAGGUCUCAAGCCGGCAGCAAGUUAUGCAGGGAGUUGAAACUGGGUGCCACUGGUCCCUAAGCCUUCAGGUCCUUGGGGAAGGACCAGCUGUGCCUGCUUGUCCCCCACCCAGCAGUCAAGCCCCCCUCCAAUCAUCCCCUGCUCUUGGGUCACAAAGGAGAAACCAGAAGAUGAAGAGGAUUGCCAGGGAAGCCCAUCCCCAUCUUGGGGAGCUGAGAGUUUUCAGAUUGCCGACGAGACCAUGCACAACCCUCGGAGUAUGCAGAUUGUGCCCAGGAUGGAAGUCUUCUCCAGAUGGAUCAUUUCUUCCCUUAUGCUAUAUCAAGCAUUCGGUGUAUUUCCCUUAUGCUUUCUCUCCUGGUCUGCAAUCGUCAUUUAUUUAUAUAUUUGCUUCCCCCAGAGGUAAGGAACCAGUCUUCAAAUGCCCUGAUAUCUCCCAAGCUUAACACAGUUCUUGAUAUGUAGGAUGGAGCAGAACUGAACAGAACACGGGACAGAAAGGCACUAAACAUGUAUAACUGGCUGAUAAUCUUUCAUAAUUAGCCAACGGGAGUCCGUGUCUCCAAAUGUCUCCUAAAGUCAUCUGCCAAAUCUGGCCAGGGAAGCCUUUUGGAAGGAUAAGCCUUCUGAUACACUUCUGCCAACCCCUGACUUGGUUAAGAGUUUUGGUUCCAGAAUCUCAUCCCUUGGGUUCUAGGCCUGGCUCUGUCACUUCCUACCUGUAUGUCUGUAGGAAGGAGCCUUAACCUCUCUGGGCCCCAAGCUUCCGGGUUGGACAAAGUGACACGGUGUUGUGUGAAGAGCUUGGAACGGCGUCUGGCACAUUGUAAGCACCCAGUAAAUCUUAGAUGUCAUUACUCAACACAGAGGAAACGAGGCAAAAAUUAACAAGAACUCUGACGAAGACCUUUUGUACUUUUCACUGUCACUGUUUCAUAUUAAACGGUAUUUGUGUGAGCGUGUACCAUGUCGCCCUGUUUAAUUGAUUUAGAAGCACUUCUGAAAGCUCACCGCUGCCCCGAGCCCAGGUAUGAGGUUUCAGCGUGAUUAACAAAAACGUUUGUGGUCAUUUCAUAAAAUUGUCGAGCAUCAGGUAUUUAGUGAGGAACAUCAUUACAUCGUUUCCGUGGGAGAAUUAGAUUAGAUUUAGAUCAUUUCGGCUAAUAAGCGCAUUUUACAAGCCCAGGCUCUCCCAGGCCAGGUGGAAAAACAUAGCUCAGAAAUGGAAGACUUCACUGCAAAAUGGAACCUGCAGACCUUGUUCACUUCCUGGCGUUGGUCAUCAGAACCAGCAUAGAAGUUUCACCUCCCACCUUUGUGUAGCUAGAUGAAAUUCUCAGCUCCCAGGAAAAUAGCAUGUUCCCACAGGGCUCUUUCUAAUGAUUGGAAGGCUAGCCCACAUACACUUCGAGUUUCCCUUAUCACAGAGGGUUAAAGAAGGCUGGGAGGAGGGCCAGGGAGAGCUCAGUUACUGAAAGCUUCCUGGGAGCAGGCAUUGUGCUUGAGGGCAUUAUCCCAUUAAAUCCCACAGCAUCCCUGGGAGAAAGGUACUGUGAUUACACCCAUUUUACAGAUGAGAAAACAAGGCCCAGAGAGGUGAGCUGACUUCUCCAAAGGCACACAGCAUUCUAACAUGGGGUAGAAGCCAGAGCUGUCUCAGCCCAAGGCCGGUUUUCCUCCCAUGCCUCAUUCGUGUCCUGGGGUGUCAUGUCCGGGAGCCUUUCCCAGCCUGACUCUGGGCCCGUUUCUGCUUUGGCUCCCAGCCUGUGUCCUACUGACUCCUUCUGUCAAGCUUGGUGGAAGAUUCCGGCACAAGUUCUCUCUUGGGUAAUAUACAGAUGACCAUUUAUGCAGUUUUUCAGCUAUUGGAAUCAGCUUCCAGGAGGGUCCACGCCAUGGAUACACCUAUUUCUAAGUAAGGGAAACCUGUGUCCUAGAGAAGAACAGCUCACAAUUCAUAUCCUACCGUGAUUUAUUCUCAGUUAAUGAUGACGGCAAGUGACCUCCAUGACCGCCGGCAUGCUCCUCCAAGAGUGACUUUAGGUGAACUUGGGACAUAAAGUUCAGAGACCUGAGGGACCAAGGAGGGGCCUGGUCACCUUUGGAUUGGGUGCAUAUUCGGGAUUUGGCUCACAUUAUGCAGAAGAGGGACUGUGCUGACGUCAAGAUGUCAGGAGAGCCCCCCGGGGACACUGAAGGUGUGGAUGAUGAAGCCAUGGGCUGGCCUGGGCCCCAGUGCCCAUCAGAAAGAGAGGAAUUCAGCCCCUCUGUUCUAAUGCUUCCACACUGAUAUGCCGAUGUCCAGAAGAGGGGGGACUCCUGGGCUGGCCUUAAUAUCAGUAAUAACACUGGUGUCCUCUCUUUCUUCAACGUCCCUCUGGAUGGUGAGGGCUUUGAAGACCUUGAGGGGAGGCAAGCUUCAGGAUGGAGGGGGCCUGGGUCCCUGAAUGACUGCAUGGAGCAGUGCUCUCUCUCCUCCACUGACCUGCUUUGGACUUAUGGCAUGAGUAAUAAACCAACUCUUCU
ensembl:lincRNA